rnacentral:misc_RNA from 1 species
GAUGAAGAACGCAGCGAAAUGCGAUAAGUAAUGUGAAUUGCAGAAUUCAGUGAAUCAUCGAAUCUUUGAACGCACCUUGCGCUCCUUGGUAUUCCGAGGAGCAUGCCUGUUUGAGUGUCAUUAAUAUAUCAACCUCUUCAGCUUAUGCUUGUUGAGUGUUGGAUGGUGGGGGUUUGCUGGUGUCUUAUGAAGUCAGCUCCUCUGAAAUGCAUUAGCGGAACAAUUUGUUGACCGUUCAUUGGUGUGAUAAAAAUAUCUACGCUAUUGACGUCAGUCAGUUCAGCUUCUAACAGUCCAUUGACUUGGACAAAUUAUUCAUUAAUGUGACCUCAAAUCAGGUAGGACUACCCGCUGAACUUAAGCAUAUCAAUAAGCGGAGGA